AGUCGCAGUUGUCGCAGCGCGCGCUUCAGAGCUCGUCGAGCAGCCAAGUAAUUCACACGUCUUUUGCAUGCUGAACAAUUAGCCAAACGGAUAGCAGCCGUUGGUUCCAGUGUAGAACAAGUCGUUCAAGAGAGGAAUAAGUGAGUGCAGCAAGAAAAAAAAGUUGAUUGGUUGGCAUUACCAUAUAUCGGAGGACUGGUGCGAUCGAGAAGUUCUGUGGGCAAGCUAGUAAAGAACGAGUUGAACUGCUGCGCUGCGGCUGGAGCGCAGUUCUUGUGUGUUGCAUAGCAGACAGAUUAGUAGUGCGGAGGUUGUUAUUGAGUGGCGCCAGUUCAGAAGGGCGACCGUUGACAAAUUCUUGUGAGCAAGCAGAACAUUCAGAGUGACAUUCGAUGACUUGUGUGAUGAGAGGCGAUUUUCUGGAGAAAGUGCAACCCAAACAAGUAUCCAUGAUGGACGCGCUGAUGCGAAGGAACAGUUUCAAUCUAUCGUUCAGUAAGUUGUGGCACCCGAAUUCGGAGAAGACCGGACGCUCCAAGAGCGGCUCCUUCGGGAGUUCGGUGGCGAUCCAGAAGCUGCGCGAGUCCAAGUGGUUCGACCGGGGCGAGGAGCGCAUCUUCUGUGCAGUGAUCGAAGCCGGUUUCAUCGUCGAACUGCGUCAUCCCGAAAUUGCCGAGAGCUGGUUUGGCGUGGCGGCGAUCGAGCUGAAGAAAUUGGCCAAGCCAACGGCCGAAAACAUCAAGAUCUACUCGGUCAAGCUAUCGGACAGCCACAGGCGGUUGAAGAUCUACAACUGCUCGCUGGACCAACUGUGGCAGCAGGGUUACCAAAUUCGGAUCAACAAUCUGUGCGACAAAGCCAAGAAGGCCCACAACGAAAAGGACAUCAUGGCUCAGAUCAAGUACGCCACCAAGACCAAGAUGGCCUUCCACAACAGUCAGCACUUUGCCGAAUUCUGCCGGUACGGUGACCGACCGCAGGACAACCGAAAACGACAAGUAAGUGUACUGUUGAAACGGCUCGAAGAUGCACUGAACGGAUCGCAGACGUACUUUUGAGCAACUCGCGGAUCAAACUGAUACAGAUACCUACCUACACACACGCAUUGAGAGAUCUCCGAGUGCGCCAAAUGGGGCGGAACAAACAUGGGCGCCACCAUAAUCUACUUCGCCAUGCAAUCGCAGAAGCAGAAGGCCAACUCCCGAUGAGCUGGCCGGAAGUUGUAUCCCAUUACUACUGCUGAUGCUGCUUUGAAUGAGAAGUGUGGAGAGAGCGCGCGCGAGAGAGAGUACUAGUCCUCGAUUUUCUCGAGGCCAAGCCUCGGGAUGUCGAGCCCUUAAAAAAGACGUGAUUGUAUUAUAUUUUUGUGUGUAUAAAUAGUCUUUAUUCUAAUGAGAUUAAGUGAUUCUGUUAAUUGUACCGAUGAUGGUACAUUAGGGUGUAAACUGUUGUAAAAUUUACCACUAGAGAUAAGAAUAGCACAAUCUACGUCGUUAGAUUUACUACGCUGAUGUUAGAUACUAAGAGACCGUUUCUUGCAGUAAACAUUGUAAAUAUUUUUGUAAAAUAUUGGAUCCUAAAUUUUAAGGGCUGCAAUCAACACCUGUCAUCGGAAAAUUAUCGUUUUCGUCCGGUACGUGAUCGGAUGUGACAGUUUUUGAAAGGUGGAUGUGAUGCAGCACCCUAUGAAGAUCGUGUAAGGCAGUUAAAUGUGAAAUAUUUUCGCUAAUUUUAGACGACAGCUUUCUGUGCCAAAUUGUUAUACCAUACGUUAGAAAAGAUCUAGCCAGUAAGACAUGAAAUCAACACUAAUAAAGAAUACAUGAGUUAUUACCAAACAAACAUA